rnacentral:rRNA from 1 species
UACGAAGGGGGCUAGCGUUGUUCGGAAUUACUGGGCGUAAAGGGCGCGUAGGCGGUGCCUCAAGUCAGGCGUGAAAGCCCCGGGCUUAACCUGGGAAUGGCAUUUGGGACUGCAAGGCUUGAGUGCGGCAGAGGAGACUGGAAUUCCUGGUGUAGCAGUGAAAUGCGUAGAUAUCAGGAGGAAUACCGAUGGCGAAGGCAGGUCUCUGGGCUGACACUGACGCUCAUGCACGAAAGCGUGGGGAGCAAACAGG